ACGCUUUGUCCAAUCCGCUCCGCGUGCUCGCACCGUACCCAAUCCCAUCCUCUCCCCUGGUCGUCCCGAUCCACACCAGCCGCCGCACAACCCUAGCCCCUUUCCCCUUGAUCCCCACAGCCCCUCCCUCCUCCUCGCUCUCCGCCAUGGCCUCUGCACUAGGAGCCUCUCCAUGGCCUCCUACCCAUCCCCCCCACCACCAUAGGUGCACACAGAUGGUCGAUCCGUGCCGGAGAAGAGCAGCUCCAGUUAUGGUGGGGUGCAUCUGUGCCGAAGAUGAAGGAGGUCCGCCGCCCGUCUUUGCCUCCUCGCUGCGUCCUUGUUGCUGCUCCUCCUCUCUCUCUCCGCACCUAGCAGUGCAGCAGCCGGGACAAGGGGAAGGAGCAGCCCGACCCGGCUCCAUCUCUCUCCUUCAUGCAGGAGAACUGGAUGAGCAGGUGGCGAGGGAAGCCGCCACGGCUAGCGGCGGCGCUGCACAGGAACGUCCACCUCCAGGGACCAGAUCUUGGCUAUGAUAUAUGCUGCUGAUUUGGCUAUCAACUGCUAAAUCUACGAAUCAUUCAAAAUGUUUUGCCUAACUGCACAAGCCUUGCAUAUGACCACUGGGCCAUGUCUUUUGUGAGCACCCAUAAUUCUUUUGUUCUAUUGAUGUUUUGCCUAACUGCACAAGCCUUGCAUAUGACCACUGGGCCAUGUCUUUUGUGAGCCCCCAUAAUUCUUUUGUUGUAUUGAUGUCGUGGAGUUCAGUAGAUUAGUAAAAGGGUCUUUUGAUUUUGUUGAGUUCAGUAGAUUAGUAAAGGGUCUUUUAAUUUUGUUGGCCAUAUAGGAUUUUACUACUGCUAUGGACAAAAGAAGGCUAAAGCUGGGACAGACAACAAUGUCAGGAGCCAACCGAGAAUUUUACUACUGCUAUGGACAAAAGAAGGCUAAAGCUGGGAAAGACAACAAUGUCAGGAGCCAACCGAGGAUUUUACUACUGCUAUGGACAAAAGAAGGCUCAAGCUAGGAAAGACAACAAUGUCAGGAGCCAACCGAGAUCCGAAAUGCCGAGAAGCAGGGUUUAUUUUCUCUCAUCACCAUAACAAAGGGGAGACUCCAGGGAGAGAGAGGAAAGCUGUGCAAGUGCCCCUGGAAGCGAGGCAGCUCGGCGGCGUCGUGGAAGAGGAGCUACGCUUCCAUGGAGUAGAGCGACGAGGGGCUCCGGUGUCGCUGCAGAGGAGGGAGGAGAUCCGCCGCCACUGCACCUGACAAUUCGACAGGAACCUCUCUGGAUGAUUCUGUCCUUAUCUCUGCUCAUGGUGCAAUGGAAGCAUACUACAAGAUAGCUUCUCUGCAUUGUUGUUUGAUUAGUAACAAGUAUACAGCAUCCCAUGUCUGAAACAUUGUUUGAUUUAGUAACAAGUAACAAAUCAGAGAGGGCAUGAAACCUGCACAUUUUCUGCUUCGCUGCAAUUUUUGUUUAUGAUGGUCAUGCCAUGAUGACUACUCCCUCUGUUCCCAAAUAUUUGUCUUUCAAAAGAUUUCAACAAAUGACUACAUACGAAGCAAAAUGAGUGAAUCUACACUUUAAAAUUUGUCUAUAUACAUCCAUAUGUUGUAGUCCAUUUAAAUGUCGAGAAAGACAAAUAUUUGGGAACGGAGGGAGUAGUAGUUUCAGUUUAUUGAGUAUUGUGCACAUGAAACCCAAUCCUGUAUAUGUACUGGUGGCAGUAUGCAUUUCAAUUUACAGAGAUUCCAAUGCUUCCUUUUUUUGUAUCCGUGUUUGUCCUCUUGCAUUGUUUAAUAAGCAGAUCGGUCCACCACUAAUUAUACAUGUUGUUUUGAAUUUUGGCAGAAUUCGGGUGUUAUGCAUUUUUGAAAGUGUUGUGCAAUGGCAGAAAUUGGCAAGAGGAUACCUCAAGUUGGUAUGAGGUUCAUAGAUUCGGAUGAGGCUUGGGUGUUUUGGGUAGAAUAUGGUGAGGAAAAGAUGCAAGUUUGAUGGAAAAGCGACUUCACACAGAUUUGUGUGUUCCAAUGAGGGCAUUAGAAGGAAAGCGCAAACUGAUCGUGAGCCAAAGCGCAAUCCCUGUAUAUGUACUUAUUUUAUUUUAGCCUAUCUCUGCUCAUGUGUGCAUCUCGUUCACUCUUUGGAUUAAACUAUAGCCAAGUGUACAACUAUACUUGCCUAAUAUAUCCAGUGUUCAGUGUCAAAAUUGUCCAGUUUGAAAAGGUUCCAUUACUUUACUGGCAUUGUUUCUUCUGUAUUCACUAAUCCUGCAAGUGUAGGCUGAGAACUAUAUACAAUUUGGACAGGUUCCAGUGUUGUGUUGCUGCCGUACAUGCCCAGUGCAGUUUUUGGAUUUCCACUGAGUGAUAGCUUUGUUUUGGUCUUCCAUAUAUCUGUGUUCUUAUUAUCAAGUCUCCACACAUGUCUUGUGCCCCCACAGGAAAUAGCAUUCUUUGACGUGACUAGAACAGGAAAGCUCUUAAGCAGGCUUUCUGAAGAUACCCAAAUUAUAAAGAAUGCCGCUACAACAAACCUUUCAGAAGCACUGCGUAAUCUGACUACCACAUCUAUUGGUCUUGGCUUUAUGUUUUCAACUUCAUGGAAGCUAACAUGUAAGUACCAGUUCCACAUGCUUGUGCUCUACAGAUUAAGAACUUUGUUGCAUCUCAUUUUGCUGACUGUGUGGCAUCUACCCGUGCAUCAAUAAAAUGAGACCAUGCUUGCAUGUGUUGUGUCUUCUGCACAUCACAGUAAAAUCUUUUGGUUCCCCAAAUGGUUUAAAAAAGAUGUUGACCUGUGACAGUUUCUUGUGUUUUUAUUAAGCCAAAUGUGGGCUGUGAAAUAUGUAAUUUGGAAUAUCUUGAUGCUUUGCUGCUGUUGUCAUUAUGUACUAGCAUUAACAUUUGUGAAAAUGGGCAAUCUGAAGAGGUCUUGAGUGCCAUGUCGGCCCUGUUUCUAUGCUUGUGUAGUUGUGCUUUUGCCAAGUCUGCAGGUGUGGGCUGUUUUGCUUUGGGCAAAUCUCAUGCAUUGGAUCUGCAUUGGACGGCAGAUGAGAGGGGGCCAGUUACAAUGUGACUUGCUAGAGGCAAGUCACUGGAUCUCAGUCCGCUAGGCGAUGUGUGGUAGAAGUUGUACUCACAGGAAGACUAUUGUGCUGUGUAUAAACCACGUUCUACGAUUCACUUCUGUUAUGCAUAUUUACUUUCCAGUUUUAGGACUGAAAUCCAUCCAUUGUGAUGAAUUUGGUUGUAUGGGCAUUACCUAUUUGACUUACGCUUGCUUCAUCACAUAUAAACUGCUUUUCUUUUCCCCA